rnacentral:sRNA from 1 species
GCACGGGUAACCAUAACCCAGCCACGGGCCGUCACCACAGCCGAGGGCCAUGAGUUUGCGCGAAGACUUGGGUGCAAAUAUACUGAGUUGUCGUCUAAGGACCACGAGCCCGUUAUGGAAGUGGUUAAAGACCUUAUUCGUGAACACAGAGCUUGGACCGAGGUGCCAUCAGUCGAAUCUGAUAGUCCGUUUCCAGCGGAGAAUACCAAUCCAAUUCCAAUCGCCCAGCCAAAUAAAAAGGAAUCCCAUCGCAGGAAUCUGAAAAGGGGGUUUUAUUUGUUGGUGAAUUCUUUUAAAGAGCGGGCGUCACGCAAUUUUAAUUGACGUAUCCAAACACGAUAUUACCAAACUCCAGGUCUGAAGUCUGAGGUGGGUGAAUUGUAAGACAAAAAGACCCAUAUUUAUGUACAGUAUUUCCCAGAACAAAAAUAACUAUUAUUUCUAAAAUAGACUCGCCCUAGUAGAUACAGCCGUACGAAUAAGAAAAGAUUUUGGCACCAACAAGAAUCACUGCCGUGAUGGAAGGAUUGAAGGAACACCUCACUCCACUAUCGCCAAUGCUCUCCCAGCCUUGACCAGGCCGUAUAGUGGCAACCCGAUGCUCCAUGCCCACACUCCAGUUCGCAGAUAGCUGAGACCUUCCGACUUGACACCCAUAUACAACACAGUGUAUAACAUCCGGGCACCAAUAUAUUCAGCAGCAAUCGUGUUCAGAUCGCCAGCAGGGAGCUUCGCAACAUUUCCUGCGAUCUACAGUAUUUUCGAAAUGCAAAGUCAUGUCAGCCUUUAUCCCCUCUUAAAGUAGUUUUAUGUCGAACGGCCUGGAGCCCUGGGGGUUCAGCGCUUCAUUGAAAGGUGCACAUACCAUUGCCGCGGCAAACAAAGGAAGUGACUCCAAAGCAUUUAGAUGCGCACUGCGCGCGCGAGAGAGUUUAUUCCACGUAUCUGCGGGUAGGCGAGCCUUGAGGGAGGUGAAGUGGUCUCGAGGCCUGUGGCGGAGAAACAAACCCACUUUGUUAGCGAUUCAUUUCGCGGUAUAUAUGUAAGGAUGAUAGAAUGAUCCUCGAUAUUUCCCUCGGGGAUGACUUACGAGACGUUGGAUAUCUGUCUCAUUGAAGCCAGUUUAAGGACAUAGUAUCCAUGAGGAACUAGGCCGAGCAUAUAAGCUCCGGCGAUUGAGUGGAGUGACCAGUUGUUUGGAGAUUGCAUCUUUUUUUAAUGUAGUUGUGAAUAAUUUUGGGGGGUUAGGGUGUUUCCCGCUUUACAG